rnacentral:rRNA from 1 species
AUACGGAGGGUGCAAGCGUUACUCGGAAUCACUGGGCGUAAAGCGCGCGCAGGCGGCCUGAUAAGUUGGGUGUGAAAGCCUACGGCUCAACCGUAGAACUGCAUCCAAAACUGUCAGGCUAGAGUGUGGGAGAGGAAGAUGGAAUUAGUUGUGUAGGGGUAAAAUCCGUAGAGAUAACUAGGAAUACCAAAAGCGAAGGCAAUCUUCUGGAACACUACUGACGCUGAGGCGCGAAGGCGUGGGGAGCAAACAGGAUUAGAAACCCCAGUAGUCC